CUUAAAUCUCUUCAUUCAUAUAUUGUAUAUAUGUAUAAAAAAAUUAUUGAGGAUCAAAUUCAUGAUAAACUAGCUGUAUAUAUCAAAACUGUCACAUCGUGCACUUGGCCUUACAAACUCCAUGUGUGUGCAUUGGACAAAUACAAGUCUUGUGUGUGGAUCCAAAUAUUGUAAUGCUGAAAGCCUUAGAAUCUAUACGUUUCAUCAAGCUUGUCAAAAGUCAUGUUCAAAAAUCCCAUGAAAGGUUGAGAGGACAUGAAAACAUGGUGUAGAUUAUGCCACUUUUUAACGUUAGGAAUGUUCUGUUUUUUUCUAGUGAGCAAUAACAGGUAGUGGUAGAUAUAUAUUAUUGUACUAUAAAAAGUGAUCAUAAAGCUCUUCAUUCGGCAGUCCCUCCCUCAAAGCAAAAUCCACACAUAAUCUCAAUCCCCAAGUGUUUCUUUCCCUAUUUCCAAUGUUUGGUUCUGAUUACUUUGGUUUUUAUAUGAUUCUUUUGAUUUCUUGCUUCAGAUUAAAAACAUUGCUUACCAUGUGUUAAAAGAAGAGACACGAGUGCGCUGUCUCGUGCAAAUAUACUGUAUAUUGAAGCUUUAAACCUAUCCAUUCAAACCAAGGAAUCUUGGGUUUUGCCAAAAUGUGGAUUCCUAGGUCUUAUGUGUAGUCUUAUCUAUAUGGCUUCUUACAAAGUACAUCGAAAGCAUGCAAGGGCCAAAUUAGAACAAUACUAAAAAGACUCAGACAAUCUUCAGUUGGAGUGACACUAUGGAGCCCCUCUUGAAAUUUGGACCCUUUGGGGGGAAUUUCACCUGCAUGGUCAAGAUUGAUUUACAAUAUCACUUUUACGUGUUUGAGACAGAGAAAAGAGAAUGAUUGCUGUUAUUGUUCUGUUCUAAGUCAUUCAAUUAUCGUUAAUAAUUUGCAAGCACAUUGUUAGGCUAUGAUCACCCCUGUAUUCCCUAUCAGUUAAGGUUGGAUCAAUGCUUGAUCCAACAAUCAAAACUAGACUUAAUAUGAUUGGUUUGAACUUUCUUUUUUUCCUCGGAUUACAUGUAUCUUUCUAUGUUUAAG
rnacentral:sRNA from 1 species